CAGAGGGGGCAAGCGUUAUUCGGAAUUAUUGGGCGUAAAGGGCGCGUAGGCGGCUUUUCAAGUGACGGGUGAAAUCCCUCGGCUUAACCGAGGAACUGCCUGUCAGACUGGAAGGCUUGAGACCGGGAGAGGUGAGUGGAAUUCCCAGUGUAGCGGUGAAAUGCGUAGAUAUUGGGAGGAACACCAGUGGCGAAGGCGGCUCACCGGACCGGAACUGACGCUGAGGCGCGAAAGCGUGGGGAGCAAACAGGAUUAGAUACCCUGGUAGUCCACGCCGUAAACGAUGAGUGCUUGGUGUAGCGGGUAUCGACCCCUGCUGUGCCGAAGUCAACACAUUAAGCACUCCGCCUGGGGAGUACGGUCGCAAGACUG
rnacentral:rRNA from 1 species